GUCAGUUUUACCCGGGUUAGCAGCUUGGAGGGCCACGUCCCGUCGCUGGAGGACCUUUCGUUAGUCAAGCGAGCGAUUAUCGUACGUGGUAACUUUCUUUGAACUUUCACAUUCGGACAACAGCAAGUGUCGUUUGUCAGUGACCAGUGAUAAAGACUGCUAUCGGAAAAGAUA